rnacentral:rRNA from 1 species
CGAGCGAACAGACGAGGAGCUUGCUCCUCUGACGUUAGCGGCGGACGGGUGAGUAACACGUGGAUAACCUACCUAUAAGACUGGGAUAACUUCGGGAAACCGGAGCUAAUACCGGACUAAUAUAUUGAACCGCAUGGUUCAAUAGUGAAAGACGGUUUUGCUGUCACUUAUAGAUGGAUCCGCGCCGCAUUAGCUAGUUGGUAAGGUAACGGCUUACCAAGGCAACGAUGCGUAGCCGACCUGAGAGGGUGAUCGGCCACACUGGAACUGAGACACGGUCCAGACUCCUACGGGAGGCAGCAGUAGGGAAUCUUCCGCAAUGGGCGAAAGCCUGACGGAGCAACGCCGCGUGAGUGAUGAAGGUCUUCGGAUCGUAAAACUCUGUUAUUAGGGAAGAACAAAUGUGUAAGUAACUAUGCACGUCUUGACGGUACCUAAUCAGAAAGCCACGGCUAACUACGUGCCAGCAGCCGCGGUAAUACGUAGGUGGCAAGCGUUAUCCGGAAUUAUUGGGCGUAAAGCGCGCGUAGGCGGUUUUUUAAGUCUGAUGUGAAAGCCCACGGCUCAACCGUGGAGGGUCAUUGGAAACUGGAAAACUUGAGUGCAGAAGAGGAAAGUGGAAUUCCAUGUGUAGCGGUGAAAUGCGCAGAGAUAUGGAGGAACACCAGUGGCGAAGGCGACUUUCU